CCUCUGAAGAUGGAGAAGGAGGCCGUCCGGGUACUACGUAGCAGUCAGGACACUGAGAUAUCAGCAAAGUGUUAUGGGACCGAAGAAGAAGAAAAUAGAAGAAAGACAUCAAAGUCAAACUGGAAGUAGGACAGUUUGGAAAGCAUUUCCCAGAAGAGGUGAUACUGAGGAGAGACAAUGAGUGGCUCAUCCCCUGAACGGUGUGUGGAAUAAGGUGAAACAUGUAGCAAUCAAGAAACUGGACUCAUCCCCUGAACGGUGUGUGGAAUAAGGUGAAACACGUAGCAAUCAAGAACUGGACUCAUCCCCUGAACGGUGUGUGGAAUAAGGUGAAACAC
rnacentral:lncRNA from 1 species